rnacentral:rRNA from 1 species
AUGAACGCUAGCGACAGGCUUAACACAUGCAAGUCGAGGGGUAACAGGGUAGCAAUACCGCUGACGACCGGCGCACGGGUGAGUAACGCGUAUGCAACCUGCCUAUAACUGGGGAAUAGCUCCCUGAAAGGGGGAAUUAACACCGCAUAACACUAUUGAUUCGCAUGGAUUAGUAGUUAAAUGUAGCGAUACAGGUUAUAGAUGGGCAUGCGUGACAUUAGCUAGUUGGUGAGGUAACGGCUCACCAAGGCUACGAUGUCUAGGGGUUCUGAGAGGAAGGUCCCCCACACUGGUACUGAGACACGGACCAGACUCCUACGGGAGGCAGCAGUGAGGAAUAUUGGUCAAUGGGCGCAAGCCUGAACCAGCCAUGUCGCGUGCAGGAAGACUCGCCCUAUGGGUUGUAAACUGCUUUUAUAGUAGAAGAAACACAUCUACGUGUAGAUGUCUGCCAGUAUACUAUGAAUAAGCAUCGGCUAACUCCGUGCCAGCAGCGGC